UACCUGUAUGUGAUCUUGAGCUCCUCAGAGGACUGGUGGGAUAUAAUGUAGUAAUAAUCAUUCUAUUAUUAUUUAAUGCUGCAAUCUGCAGAACUGCCUUUGCUGAUUUCUCCACCCAACAUCUCUUAUAUCCCACAACUACUCUAUCUGCAUUUUUGGAUGCAGUUUGGGAAGCUUUCUGUGUCAUUCGGCAAACUAUCCCUAUUACAAAACUCUCACCAUUUACAGGGGCUUGGAGAGGAAUUAUGGAGGAGAAAAAAGGAUGCCCAUGUAUUCUCUCCUUCCUCUCUUGGAGGCAAUAUGCUGGGAAUCACAAGCAGGGAGACUUGCUGUUGCACCCAUGCCCUGCUUUGGGGCUGCCCAUUGUGUCAUCUGUUUGGCCAUUGUGAGAAGAGGGUGUUGGACAAGAUAGCCUGAUCCUUUGGCCUGAUGCAGCAGCCAGGCUGCUCUUACCUUCUCAAGGCAAUGGGAUUUGAUUUUGAGGGGGAAAUGCGGCUUUAAUGCCCCUGGCAGCGCAAUCGUAUUUUUAUAUUUUGUACCUUAUAUUUGUAAACUUAGAGACUACCGUAGUUAAGCAGUAUACUAAAUUGCUUAAAUCAAUACAUAAAACCAGAAGUAAGUCUCAUUCAAUCUGUAUGGGGUUUACUUCCUCCUAGGGAAACGUGCUAGGAUCGCAGCCACCUUGGUGACGAAGGAAUCGGAAGGCGAUAUAUUUUAUAACAAAUGCAAGUGAUAUAAUAUAAAAGAACAAUAUAUAUAUAUAUAUAUAUAUUUAAGGAAGACGGUGGAUGAUGGUGGGCAGAGUGAGGCGAGGCAACUUUCCUCCGCCAAAGUUGGAGCCGAGGCGAAAGCGUGACCUCACAAAAGCAGCCUAGGGAAUAAGGCUGCGGCGGCGGCAGGCCCCUUUGGCGGGCCGGGACGGGCCCCGUCCAGGCGCCGCGCGGCGGGCGAUGGGCUGUGUGGAAUCCAAUGAAGUGCUUUCCUCCGAAGCGAUAGACACAAGCUCAGUAGCAGCACCACCCGCGCCCCAAACGACUGCUCCAGACUCUGAAAAAGUGAAAAAAAAGAGAAGACAUAGCUUAAGGGAAAGGUGGGCAACUGGGAAGAAGACAUCUACCGAAGAUCUGGGCCAUCGGACUGAAAGCACAAAGAUCCACGUGAUCUGGAGACGUGUUUCUCUCUUCAGCACAAAGCGAGAUUCCUUGAAGAGCAUGAACGGAGAAGUGGCUGGGCCCAGUCAUCUGAACAGCGAUCAAGAACCUCAACCCAAUACCUCUGAGAAAUUUGGGGAAACUCACUGAGGAGAGAGAGAGAAUGUGGACAGAGAAUACAGAGCAGGCUAUGGCAGCAUUGCUGCAAAAUACAGGCAGUCUUACAGCUAAGGGGAAUAAACUUUAACUAUCA